UAGGCAUCAGACACAGUUUUGUCAUUUAGCCUCCGGUAGUCGACACAAAAACGUGUCGUGCCAUCCUUCUUGGGUACUAGCACUAACGGCGAUGCCCAGGGGCUAUCGGAAUGUUCAAUAACCCCUAGCUGCAACAUCUCCUCAAUCUCCUUCCUCAUAUGUUCCCUGACUGCUUCAGGGAUACGAUAUGGGGUCUGCCGCAUAGGUAGCUGUCC